rnacentral:lncRNA from 1 species
ACAGCACAGACCUUGGCAGUGUGGAGGGAGAGAGCCUGGUUUUUCCGCCCAGCCCUGGGCAACCUUCUGGUGUCCCAGGAUAGAAAAAAGACUCACAUUUCUUUGCACCACUGAGCCCAUCACUGCAGCACCAGAGCAUUUGACAUCUGCAAAACAACAUCAUUAGAGCCAGCUUCUGCAGAGCCAAGAGCCGUGAGCCGAUCCUCCAAAAACCAGACCCACAGGACAAGAGGCCAGGAGGGAGCAGCCAGCUCUCGGUGAACACAGGCACAGGGCCUUGGCAGGCUCAGCGGCCAGGACGUCCAGGUCUCAUCUCCAGUCUGCCUCUUGCUAGUCACCUGACCUCCCGCAGCCUCAGUUUCCCCAUCUGUAAGGUGAUGACGACACCCUCUAGCUCCUUAGUAAAGGAAU